GAUGAACGCUGGCGGCGUGCUUAACACAUGCAAGUCGAACGGAAAGGCCAGUGCUUGCUCUGGUACUCGAGUGGCGAACGGGUGAGUAACACGUGUGUGAUCUGCCCUGCACUUUGGUAUAAGCUUGGGAAACUGGGUCUACUACCAGAUCGGACCACUUCUUUGGUUUUGUGGAGGAAAGUGUUUUCGGUUUGGGGUGGGCUCGCGCCCUAUCAGCUUGUUGGGGGGGUCGUGGCCUACCAAGACGUCGGCGAGUAGCCGGCCUGUGUGGGUGUGCGGCAACAUUGGGACGGAGAGACGGCGCAGGCUCCUACGGGAAGCAGCAGUGGGGAAUGUUGCACAAGGGGCGGAAGCCUGAUGCAGCGACGCCGCGUGGAGGAUGACGGUCUUCGUGUAGAAAACUCCUGUCGCCAAAGACGAGUUUUGACGGUAGUUGGAGAAGAAGCACCGGCUAACUACGUG
rnacentral:rRNA from 1 species